rnacentral:rRNA from 1 species
AUUGAACGCUGGCGGCAGGCCUAACACAUGCAAGUCGAACGGUAACAGGAAGCAGCUUGCUGCUUUGCUGACGAGUGGCGGACGGGUGAGUAAUGUCUGGGAAACUGCCUGAUGGAGGGGGAUAACUACUGGAAACGGUAGCUAAUACCGCAUAGCGUCGCAAGACCAGAGAGGGGGACCUUCGGGCCUCUUGCCAUCGGAUGUGCCCAGCUGGGAUUAGCUAGUAGGUGGGGUAACGGCUCACCUAGGCGACGAUCCCUAGCUGGUCUGAGAGGAUGACCAGCCACACUGGAACUGAGACACGGUCCAGACUCCUACGGGAGGCAGCAGUGGGGAAUAUUGCACAAUGGGCGCAAGCCUGAUGCAGCCAUGCCGCGUGUAUGAAGAAGGCCUUCGGGUUGUAAAGUACUUUCAGCGGGGAGGAAGGGAGUAAAGUUAAUACCUUGGCUCAUUGACGUUACCCGCAGAAGAAGCACCGGCUAACUACGUG